UACGGGGGGGGCAAGCGUUGUUCGGAAUUACUGGGCGGAAAGGGCUCGUAGGCGGCCAACUAAGUCAGACGUGAAAUCCCUAGGCUCAACCUAGGAACUGCGUCUGAUACUGGAUGGCUUGAAUCCGGGAGAGGGAUGCAGAAUUCCAGGUGUAGCGGUGAAAUGCGUAGAUAUCUGGAGGAAUACCGGUGGCGAAGGCGGCAUCCUGGACCGGCAUUGACGCUGAGGAGCGAAAGCCAGGGGAGCAAACGGG
rnacentral:rRNA from 1 species